GAUGAAGAACGCAGCGAAAUGCGAUAAGUAAGGUGAAUUGCAGAAUUCAGUGAAUCAUCGAAUCUUUGAACGCACAUUGCGCCCGCCAGUAUUCUGGCGGGCAUGCCUGUUCGAGCGUCAUUACAACCCUCAGGCCCCCGGGCCUGGCGUUGGGGAUCGGCGGAGCCCCCCGUGGGCACACGCCGUCCCCCAAAUACAGUGGCGGUCCCGCCGCAGCUUCCAUCGCGUAGUAGCUAACACCUCGCGACUGGAGAGCGGCGCGGCCACGCCGUAAAACACCCAACUCUUCUGAAGUUGACCUCGAAUCAGGUAGGAAUACCCGCUGAACUUAAGCAUAUCAAUAAGCGGAGGA
rnacentral:misc_RNA from 1 species